rnacentral:rRNA from 1 species
CAAAGGUAGCGUAAUCACUUGUCUUAUAAAUAAAGACCUGUAUGAAUGGCUAAAUGAGUAUUUAACUGUCUCCUUUAACUAAUCAGUGAAACUGAUCUCUCAGUACAAAAGCUGAGAUAAGUUCAUAAGACGAGAAGACCCCGUGGAGCUUUAAAUUAUUAACAAAAUAUAAUAAAACAUGUUUAUGAUAAAAAAUUUUUAGUUGGGGCGACUUUGGAGUAAAACUGAGCCUCCAAGAAAAGGCACUGCCUAACCAAGGCUAACAGGCCAAACUAACCGACCCAGUAUUAUUUACUGAUCAACGAACCAAGUUACCCCAGGGAUAACAGCGCCAUCUUCUUCAAGAGUUCAUAUCGACAAGAAGGUUUACGACCUCGAUGUUGGAUCAGGACACCCUAAUGGUGCAGCCGCUAUUAAAGGUUCGUUUGUUCAACGAUUAAUGU